rnacentral:rRNA from 1 species
CCUACGGGUGGCAGCAGUGAGGAAUAUUGGUCAAUGGGCGCGAGCCUGAACCAGCCAAGUCGCGUGAGGGAUGAAUGCCCUACGGUUUGUAAACUUCUUUUAUAAGGGAAUAAAGUGAGGCACGUGUCCCUUUUUGUAUGUACCUUAUGAAUAAGGAUCGGCUAACUCCGUGCCAGCAGCCGCGGUAAUACGGAGGAUCCGAGCGUUAUCCGGAUUUAUUGGGUUUAAAGGGAGCGUAGAUGGGCUGUUAAGUCAGUUGUGAAAGUUUGCGGCUCAACCGUAAAAUUGCAAUUGAUACUGGCAGCCUUGAGUACAGUUGAGGUAGGCGGAAUUCGUGGUGUAGCGGUGAAAUGCAUAGAUAUCACGCAGAACUCCGAUUGCGAAGGCAGCCUACUAAACUGUCACUGACAUUGAUGCUCGAAAGUGUGGGGAUCAAACAGGAUUAGAUACCCGUGUAGUC